rnacentral:rRNA from 1 species
UUGAACGCUGGCGGCAGGCCUAACACAUGCAAGUCGAGCGGAUGAAGGGAGCUUGCUCCUGGAUUCAGCGGCGGACGGGUGAGUAAUGCCUAGGAAUCUGCCUGGUAGUGGGGGAUAACGUCCGGAAACGGGCGCUAAUACCGCAUACGUCCUGAGGGAGAAAGUGGGGGAUCUUCGGACCUCACGCUAUCAGAUGAGCCUAGGUCGGAUUAGCUAGUUGGUGGGGUAAAGGCCUACCAAGGCGACGAUCCGUAACUGGUCUGAGAGGAUGAUCAGUCACACUGGAACUGAGGCACGGUCCAGACUCCUACGGGAGGCAGCAGUGGGGAAUAUUGGACAAUGGGCGAAAGCCUGAUCCAGCCAUGCCGCGUGUGUGGAGAAGGUCUUCGGAUUGUAAAGCACUUUAAGUUGGGAGGAAGGGCAGUAAGUUAAUACCUUGCUGUUUUGACGUUACCAACAGAAUAAGCACCGGCUAACUUCGUG